UUAAGCGACUAAGCGUACACGGUGGAUGCCCUGGCAGUCAGAGGCGAUGAAGGACGUGCUAAUCUGCGAUAAGCGUCGGUAAGGUGAUAUGAACCGUUAUAACCGGCGAUUUCCGAAUGGGGAAACCCAGUGUGUUUCGACACACUAUCAUUAACUGAAUCCAUAGGUUAAUGAGGCGAACCGGGGGAACUGAAACAUCUAAGUACCCCGAGGAAAAGAAAUCAACCGAGAUUCCCCCAGUAGCGGCGAGCGAACGGGGAGNAGCCCAGAGCCUGAAUCAGUGUGUGUGUUAGUGGAAGCGUCUGGAAAGGCGCGCGAUACAGGGUGACAGCCCCGUACACAAAAAUGCACAUGCUGUGAGCUCGAUGAGUAGGGCGGGACACGUGGUAUCCUGUCUGAAUAUGGGGGGACCAUCCUCCAAGGCUAAAUACUCCUGACUGACCGAUAGUGAACCAGUACCGUGAGGGAAAGGCGAAAAGAACCCCGGCGAGGGGAGUGAAAAAGAACCUGAAACCGUGUACGUACAAGCAGUGGGAGCACGCUUAGGCGUGUGACUGCGUACCUUUUGUAUAAUGGGUCAGCGACUUAUAUUCUGUAGCAAGGUUAACCGAAUAGGGGAGCCGAAGGGAAACCGAGUCUUAACUGGGCGUUAAGUUGCAGGGUAUAGACCCGAAACCCGGUGAUCUAGCCAUGGGCAGGUUGAAGGUUGGGUAACACUAACUGGAGGACCGAACCGACUAAUGUUGAAAAAUUAGCGGAUGACUUGUGGCUGGGGGUGAAAGGCCAAUCAAACCGGGAGAUAGCUGGUUCUCCCCGAAAGCUAUUUAGGUAGCGCCUCGUGAAUUCAUCUCCGGGGGUAGAGCACUGUUUCGGCAAGGGGGUCAUCCCGACUUACCAACCCGAUGCAAACUGCGAAUACCGGAGAAUGUUAUCACGGGAGACACACGGCGGGUGCUAACGUCCGUCGUGAAGAGGGAAACAACCCAGACCGCCAGCUAAGGUCCCAAAGUCAUGGUUAAGUGGGAAACGAUGUGGGAAGGCCCAGACAGCCAGGAUGUUGGCUUAGAAGCAGCCAUCAUUUAAAGAAAGCGUAAUAGCUCACUGGUCGAGUCGGCCUGCGCGGAAGAUGUAACGGGGCUAAACCAUGCACCGAAGCUGCGGCAGCGACGCUUAUGCGUUGUUGGGUAGGGGAGCGUUCUGUAAGCCUGUGAAGGUGUGCUGUGAGGCAUGCUGGAGGUAUCAGAAGUGCGAAUGCUGACAUAAGUAACGAUAAAGCGGGUGAAAAGCCCGCUCGCCGGAAGACCAAGGGUUCCUGUCCAACGUUAAUCGGGGCAGGGUGAGUCGACCCCUAAGGCGAGGCCGAAAGGCGUAGUCGAUGGGAAACAGGUUAAUAUUCCUGUACUUGGUGUUACUGCGAAGGGGGGACGGAGAAGGCUAUGUUGGCCGGGCGACGGUUGUCCCGGUUUAAGCGUGUAGGCUGGUUUUCCAGGCAAAUCCGGAAAAUCAAGGCUGAGGCGUGAUGACGAGGCACUACGGUGCUGAAGCAACAAAUGCCCUGCUUCCAGGAAAAGCCUCUAAGCAUCAGGUAACAUCAAAUCGUACCCCAAACCGACACAGGUGGUCAGGUAGAGAAUACCAAGGCGCUUGAGAGAACUCGGGUGAAGGAACUAGGCAAAAUGGUGCCGUAACUUCGGGAGAAGGCACGCUGAUAUGUAGGUGAAGUCCCUCGCGGAUGGAGCUGAAAUCAGUCGAAGAUACCAGCUGGCUGCAACUGUUUAUUAAAAACACAGCACUGUGCAAACACGAAAGUGGACGUAUACGGUGUGACGCCUGCCCGGUGCCGGAAGGUUAAUUGAUGGGGUCAGCGCAAGCGAAGCUCUUGAUCGAAGCCCCGGUAAACGGCGGCCGUAACUAUAACGGUCCUAAGGUAGCGAAAUUCCUUGUCGGGUAAGUUCCGACCUGCACGAAUGGCGUAAUGAUGGCCAGGCUGUCUCCACCCGAGACUCAGUGAAAUUGAACUCGCUGUGAAGAUGCAGUGUACCCGCGGCAAGACGGAAAGACCCCGUGAACCUUUACUAUAGCUUGACACUGAACAUUGAGCCUUGAUGUGUAGGAUAGGUGGGAGGCUUUGAAGUGUGGACGCCAGUCUGCAUGGAGCCGACCUUGAAAUACCACCCUUUAAUGUUUGAUGUUCUAACGUUGACCCGUAAUCCGGGUUGCGGACAGUGUCUGGUGGGUAGUUUGACUGGGGCGGUCUCCUCCUAAAGAGUAACGGAGGAGCACGAAGGUUGGCUAAUCCUGGUCGGACAUCAGGAGGUUAGUGCAAUGGCAUAAGCCAGCUUGACUGCGAGCGUGACGGCGCGAGCAGGUGCGAAAGCAGGUCAUAGUGAUCCGGUGGUUCUGAAUGGAAGGGCCAUCGCUCAACGGAUAAAAGGUACUCCGGGGAUAACAGGCUGAUACCGCCCAAGAGUUCAUAUCGACGGCGGUGUUUGGCACCUCGAUGUCGGCUCAUCACAUCCUGGGGCUGAAGUAGGUCCCAAGGGUAUGGCUGUUCGCCAUUUAAAGUGGUACGCGAGCUGGGUUUAGAACGUCGUGAGACAGUUCGGUCCCUAUCUGCCGUGGGCGCUGGAGAAUUGAGGGGGGCUGCUCCUAGUACGAGAGGACCGGAGUGGACGCAUCACUGGUGUUCGGGUUGUCAUGCCAAUGGCACUGCCCGGUAGCUAAAUGCGGAAGAGAUAAGUGCUGAAAGCAUCUAAGCACGAAACUUGCCCCGAGAUGAGUUCUCCCUGACUCCUUGAGAGUCCUGAAGGAACGUUGAAGACGACGACGUUGAUAGGCCGGGUGUGUAAGCGCAGCGAUGCGUUGAGCUAACCGGUACUAAUGAACCGUGAGGCUUAACCUU
rnacentral:rRNA from 1 species